rnacentral:lncRNA from 13 species
CUCUAUACCAGGCGGUGUCAGAGGAAGGCCCUAAAAUGUGUUAAAGACUCCAGCCACCCUAGUCAUAGACUGUUCUCUCUGCUACCACACAGCAAGCGGUACCGGAGCGCCAAGUCUAGGUCCAAGAGUCUUCUAAACAGCUUUUACCCCUAAGCCAUAAGACUCCUGAACAUCUAAUCAAAUGGCCACCCAGACUAUUUGCAUUGCCACCACCCCUCUUUUAUACCGCUGCUACUCUCUGUUGUUAUCAUCUACAGUAUAUAUAGUCAUUUUAAUAACUCGCCCUACAUGUACAUAUUACCUCAACUAACCGGUGUCCCCGCACAUGGACUCUCUACUCCCCUGUAUAUAGUCUCGCUAUUGUUAUUUACUGCUGCUCUUUAAUUCAAUUAUACUUUUAUUUGUUAUUGUUAUUCGUAUCAAACACCUGCAUUUUGUGACUAAUAAAAUGUGAUCUGAUUUGAAUUUCAGGAUCUGAAUGGUAGUUUGAUCAUAGCACUCCUCUCACAGCUAUACAAGUAUUCCCUGAAUUUACUCAGUUUGUUUGGAAUGGGAAGUAUACCCAGCAUACCUCCAGCAGAAGGAUUGGCCUGCUAGAGUUGUAAUGCGUUUGUAGCCUACAUUGUGUGUGACUUAUAUAUAACAUUUGCUAACAUGAGUACACAUUGCAUACAAUGGUGUAAGUUUCAUUUUUUACCUUUAUAAACUCAACUUGCGUCUGUAAAUAUCUGUAUUCAUUAUACUAUUAUUAUUUCCGUAGCCUAGGCUACACUAAUGGUCACGUUCCAAGCCCUAUGCCUGUAAAGUGAUUUGAACGCCAAUCGGCUGCACUCCGGUACUGUACCUGCACCACGAAUAUGACAUCGUUUUUCCUCUAUAUAACCAUUAUAUUUGUUACGCUACUUGGGCGUACCUAUAAUGGUUUGGAAGAGAACCAUAAACCAACCACUGAAUUAAAUUGUAAUGACGGUCCUAGACACAUAUGUACUAACACAAAUUGUAGCUGGACUGGCUUCUUGAAAGACGUUGUAUUUGAUUGCCCGCUUGAUAAUGACAAGUUUCAAUGUUCAGUGGAGACGGAUGAAGUAAAGAAAAACCAGGAAGAACAACAAACAGUACCAGUGGCACCGAUAUGCAAAGACAAUAGAAGCUGUGGAUUCCCUACAACAUUUGUCGGUGAAAGUGUAAGAUGCACCAUACAUAUGCAAAUACAGCCACCAAUAACAUCAAGAGGACCAGAAAAGAUGGAAGAUGGAAAAGGUUUGGAAGAGAACCAUAAACCAACCACUGAAUUAAAUUGUAAUGACGGUCCUAGACACAUAUGUACUAACACAGAUUGUAGCUGGACUGGCUUCUUGAAAGACGUUGUAUUUGAUUGCCCGCUUGAUAAUGACAAGUUUCAAUGUUCAGUGGAGACGGAUGAAGUAAAGAAAAACCAGGAAGAACAACAAACAGUACCAGUGGCACCGAUAUGCAAAGACAAUAGAAGCUGUGGAUUCCCUACAACAUUUGUCGGUGAAAGUGUAAGAUGCACCAUACAUAUGCAAACACAACUACCAGCAACAUCAAGAGAACCAGACAAUCUGAAGAAUGAAACAGAGCCAAAACACAAUAUACCCUGGUGGAUUUGGUUAAUCAUUUGCCUUUGCCUUUGGCAUUAGCGUUGGCAUUGGUGUUGGGAUUUGGAUUAAUCGAUGUCAGAAGAAAAAGGAUUCAUUUGAGACACGUGAUGAGGCGUAUAUAGAAGUGGAUGGAAUGGUAUAAAAAACGAAUGAGGUGGUAUUAUUGCAGGGGUUAACCUAUGGGUGCACUAGUAUGAGCCAUCAUCAGCCAGCAGGCUAUUUUAAUACUAAUCUCAUUGGGGUAAAUUAAUAAAAUGUUUUAAAAGAUAAAUCAAAUCUGCAUGGAUUAGUGUUUGCCAUCAUGUGUGAUGCAGUGAUAAAACACCUGAAAGAAUGCCUACAUUAACAUACAGUACCGGUCAAAAGUUUG